AUGAAGUAGUGUGAGAUGACAAAGGGAAAGCAGCGGUGGAGAUAGUUGUCAGUUGGAUUAAGGCUACAGGGAAUCAUGACAGAGAAACCAUGAAAGCAAAGUCAUGGACAACCUAACCAUACUUUUCUUAGUUAGUUGUAACAAUACAUAGCGUGUUUUUUGUUUUUUGUUUUAUUGAAAUGCUUGCUCCAUAAGGGUGAUUCAUUUUAAUGGGUUCUCAAGUUCUGUUCCUCAGGAAAAGUGCUCUUAGGUUGAGCAUGUAUGGUAGGCCAGCGUACCAGACAAUGAUUGAACUUGUCCUGCACAUCAGUAAUAUAAGCAAAUUCACGUCCUCUGACUUUUUGUGGGACACAUGAGAGUAUGAGUAACAACAAGAAAAUAAAUAAUUUAAGUUGGA